rnacentral:rRNA from 1 species
UACGGAGGGCGCAAGCGUUGCUCGGAAUCACUGGGCGUAAAGCGAACGCAGGCGGCACGUUAAGUCGGGUGUGAAAGCCCUGGGCUCAACCCAGGAAGUGCAUUCGAAACUGGCGCGCUCGAGGAUGGGAGAGGAGAGCGGAAUUCCUGGUGUAGAGGUGAAAUUCGUAGAUAUCAGGAGGAACAUCAGUGGCGAAAGCGGCUCUCUGGCUCAUUUCUGACGCUCAUGUUCGAGAGCGUGGGAAGCAAACAGG